rnacentral:tRNA from 3 species
GCGCGAGUGGUGAAAUGGCAGACACGCUAGAUUUAGGCUCUAGUGCCUUCGGGUGUAAGGGUUCAAGUCCCUUCUUGCGCA